GGCUUUCCUAGAAAUGAGUGCGUACAGAAACAGUCGGUUCCUAUUUUUUGAUGGUUUCCAUGCAGUGGAGCAAUGACAAACCAAACUUGUCAUUUUAUUUUAGAACUUUUAAUGAGGAAAGACACAGCGGCGAUAGAUAGCGCCACCAGUCAUAAUGACUGACAGCCCUUGGUGUUAUCACGGAUUUGCGAAGAACACUUUUUACAAGGAACUCCAGCUUGGUCAGGUUGGCUUCUGCAAGGAAAUCUAGAGACGUAUGAAGCCCGCUGACAUCAAGACUGGACAGCUGUCUGAGAAAAGUUUUGUUUUUCACGUCCCAUUUCAUUGGUAUGACGCUGA